rnacentral:tRNA from 1 species
UCCCUGGUGGCUCAGAGGUUAAAGCGUCCUCCUCCAAUGUGGGAGACCUGGGUUCGAUCCCUGGGUCAGGGAA